UGCUGGUAUUGGUUUGCUCAACUCUGAGAGGCCUAGGGUAUUAUCCAUCAGUAGUAUAUCACAUGAUGGAUACUAUCCUGGGCUUCUCACUUGGAGUUGAGCAAACCAAUACCAGCACAUUUUACUUCCUGGAUGUACAAGUAGAAGUCGAACAAGGAGAAUAUGUCACCAAAGUAUAUAAAAAGCCCACCUAUAUCCUGGUCCUAAUCCCCACAUGGUCGCAGGACUCUAUGGGCUACAAAAUGGCUGUAUUUAAAGUGCUCUUUAGUAAAAUAUUUACUCAGGUCACUAAAUGGAGUGACAAAAAUUAGAAAAUGGGAUUAUAUUUAUACUUACGGCCAUAAAUAUGGCUAUUUUACCAAGGUUCUGGACAGUAUAUGGAGAAAAGUAUUGAACAAUAUAGAGCGACCUCAGCCAAAGGACCACAGAACACCCAAGCUGCCCCGUCCAUAUAUACAUCGAUCACAUAUUAUAAAACUA
rnacentral:lncRNA from 1 species